GACUAUUGUUACUGAGGAAGCAGCCUCCUAUAAAUCUGGAAGCAGCUAAUAUAAAUCUAACCAUCCGCCUACCUAUGUAUUCAGUCCCAGGGAAGAUACGAAGUCUCUUCCUUGUAGGGAUUACGAAGAAGCAGGUACAAGUGACAAAUCAAAGAGCAAGGAUGUCCAGCAAUGCUCUGGAGGCACAGCAAUGCUCAGAGGCCAGCAACAAUCUCCCUUGGCCAUGCAAUAUUCCCCAGCUGUUCUCAUCCACAUAGAACUGGCUCAUCUUCAAAUCAGGUCCUGUAUUCACGGAGGGACCUGCAUUACUCUGGUUCACCCUGAAAAGAUGCCAUCUCAGACAGGCUGCAUGGGAAGGUGCAGUGAUCUCCCAGCCCAGCUGCCUGUCUGAACACCAGGGAUCCAGAGUGGGAAUGUGUGUAAGUCUUCACCACCAGGAGGAAACGCUAAAACCCAGAUUCCAGGGGACAGGGGAAGAUCUGCCCGUGGGGACACAGGGCAGCCAGGAGGAGCCCCGCCAGGGCUUGGCAUGUGGCACCAGCCAGGGUCAGUGAACGCCCACAGUGACAUCACAGCCAAACAACCGGGACCUUAU
rnacentral:lncRNA from 1 species